rnacentral:rRNA from 1 species
UAACGCGUGAGAACCUGCCUUGGGGAUGGGGACAACGGUUGGAAACGACCGCUAAUUCCCAAUAAGCCGAGAGGUAAAACAGAAUCUGCCCGAAGAGGGGCUCGCGUCUGAUUAGCUAGUUGGUGGGGUAAGAGCUUACCAAGGCAGCGAUCAGUAGCUGGUCUGAGAGGAUGAGCAGCCACACUGGGACUGAGGCACGGCCCAGACUCCUACGGGAGGCAGCAGUGGGGAAUUUUCCGCAAUGGGCGAAAGCCUGACGGAGCAAGACCGCGUGAGGGAGGAAGGCCUUUGGGUUGUAAACCUCUUUUCUCAGGGAAGAAGCAAGUGACGGUACCUGAGGAAUCAGCCUCGGCUAACUCCGUGCCAGCAGCCGCGGUAAUACGGAGGAGGCAAGCGUUAUCCGGAAUUAUUGGGCGUAAAGCGUCCGCAGGUGGUGAUUCAAGUCCGCUGUCAAAGACCGGGGCUCAACCCUGGGCCGGCAGUAGAAACUGAAGCACUAGAGUUCGGUAGGGGUAGAGGGAAUUCCCAGUGUAGCGGUGAAAUGCGUAGAGAUUGGGAAGAACACCAGUGGGGAAAGCGCUCUACUGGGCCGAGACUGACACUCAGUCUAUGAGCUAGGGGAGCGAAAGGGAUUAGAUACUCCCUGUAGUCGCUAGCCGU